AGACUGACCAAAAGAUAGAAGAGGAAGAGGGGGGGAGAUCACACCUUUGGCACACAGAUAAAGACAGUCCAGGAAGUUAUGACUGUUCGUGUGUUUUAAUGCGAGCGGAUGUGUCAGCGCUUUUGUUAGUUUGCAUUUGUGAUCAAAUGUUUAGAAAUGAAGUUUUCCUGUCCUCUCAUCUGUGGUCUUUUGUCCUGCAUUUGCUUCAAAGUCACAGGUUCAAGUUCUGAGCUGACUGUGAAUCAGAGCCAAUCCAGCAUCACUGUAUAUGAGGGAGAUUCUGCUCAAAUCACCUGCUGCUGGAAUAAAAUCAGAUAUAGUGUUAAAGUUGUUUGGUACAUCAAAGAUACAAAACUUUCAGGAGUAAACGAGCAACGCCAAGAGCAUCAAACACAGAACUGUUCAACGCUCCACCUCACAAACAUACUUAAAAAUUAUACAGGUCAUUAUGUUUGUGAAGUGAUUCAAGACAUACCAGUCCUGUUUAAGUUGAAUAGUACUGGAACAGCUCUAUCUGUCAUUGUCAGACAACUAGAAAAGACAACGACUGAAAAUGUUCCUAUAGUUUCCAACCCACCUAUAGUGGUCCAGGCUCCCACCAGACUCCCAGCAGCCAGUAGUUCACGUAAGAUUGUGAUGAUAUACAUUUUCAGAAGUCUGCCCUUCAUUUGCCUGCUGAUGGCGUUCUUUUAUCUGAACAGGGACAACAAACAUGCCACAGUAUCAAAACCAGUUGAGCAUGCUGUAGAAUCAGGAGAAGGACCGGAUGAAAACCUGGAGGCCGGAGAAACACGGAGAAAUGAAACUGAAGAGAUAAAACAGGGUGAGAAAGUUUCUGAACAGGAGAAAGGGAGGGACAACUCAGAGAAACCUGAAGUUACUGCUGCAACCGAAGAAGAAAAGAAUAAAGAAAAAGAGACUGUUGUAGUUGUGGAACAAGGUUCAUCUCCAGUGCAGGACAAUGAAAACAAGACCAUUUCUGUUCUGGACACUGAAGAAAAGACAAAUCUAAUGGCUGAUGUUGAAGACGUGACCGUUUCUGUGCUAGGUGGCAUCGUUUCAGCUCUGUGAGACACAGGAAAUGGAGUUAUGGGUGUGCUGUUCCGUUCUAUGAUGUCACUUCCUGUAUCAUAGCUUGUUUGCUGACUCCUAAUGGUUUGCAUUGAUUGCAACUGAAUUGUUAUAGUAGAUUGUAUCCAAACUGGUUUUGAAACAAUAAAAAAAUGUCUUCAACUUCAUGCAUGAAUCUUUCUGUGUUUUUUGUGGGGUUGUGUGUAUGGUUGUGCUCAGUGUGUCCGGGGUAGAACGAGCAUGAGAUCAGAGUUGUGGUUUACUCUGGGCUUCGCUCUGACAAAAUUAGUUGUGUGGUCGUUUUGGGUUUUUUUUUAUUGGGGGGGUUGGGGGGAUGGGUGUUCAGAGAAAAUCUGAGAACGCAGGUUAUUUUUUUCAUGUGAAAGGUUGUGAUGUGGGAGUAAGGCAGACUUCAGAUUCUCAGCAGAUGCUCAGAAAUGAAGUGUUCCUCCAGACUCCUGUGUGGGAUCCUCAUGUCAUGCCUUUGUUUCAGAGUCACAGGUUUAAGUUCUGAGCUGACUGUGAAUCAGAGCCAAUCCAGCAUCACUGUAUAUGAGGGAGAUUCUGCCCAAAUCACCUGCUGCUGGAAUAAAAUCGGAUAUAGUGUUAAAGUUGCUUGGUACAUCAAAGAUACAAAACUUUCAGGAGUAAACGAGCAACGCCAAGAGCAUCAAACACAGAACUGUUCAACGCUCCACCUCACAAACAUACUUAAAAAUUAUACAGGUCAUUAUGUUUGUGAAGUGACUCAAGACAUACCAGUCCUGUUUAAGUUGAAUAGUACUGGAACAGCUCUAUCUGUCAUUGUCAGACAACUAGAAAAGAUAACGACUGUUUCUUACUCGCCUCAUAUAACCCAGACUAAAGACGGUACAUCCACAGCCUCACCAUCAUCACCAGCAAAUCUCACCCUGCAUUUGUCCCUGGCUGCUGCCAUUGGCCUGGUGACCGUCUGCUUGGCCUUAAGCGUGUGCAAGAUGAGGAACUCCUGUAAAAAAACAGAACGAGUGGUCAUUCACCAGACGCCACACAGCGAGGGUGAGGAGCAUGAGCACAUGGAGGAGGAGGACGGCAGCACAGGCUCCUCUCGAGGAUCCCUCCAAUGGUAUCAAGUACCAGUUUACUGGUCUUACUUUGAUCUACAGAGGGGCGAAGAAGACAAAUGAAAGGAAAGACAAACAUUGAUGCUCUGUUCAUUGGACUGUGUUUUGCAUUAUUCUUUCUUUUGUGAAAGUGUUUUUGUAAAUAGCAGAAGCUGUGGAAACCAUCUGAGCUCUCGACUGUGGUUUCAGAUAUUAAUCUCUAUUUGUAGCAGCUUCACUGAUUGAUUGAUCGUUUUGUUCUUAUUUUAAUUGUUGUCUUUUUAGUUGUCUGAAAAAGUUUCAACCUGACAUGGAAAACUACUUGGAUAUGUUCAUGCCCAAACUGAUGCAAUUCAAACAUGUAUAAAAGUAGUACAUACUGCCUGCACCUGAAGUCUAACCGUGAAGAUUUACACCGUACAGAUGUCUGCUAUGCCUUUCAGCCUUCUUAGAAAUGUUGACACUUUCAUACUGUGGUUUCUUUUGCCAUUUACAAUAAAAGUGUGUGAAAACCA